GGAGAGAUGGCAGAGUGGUCGAUUGCGGCGGUCUUGAAAACCGUUGUACCGCAAGGUACCGGGGGUUCGAAUCCCUCUUUCUCCG
rnacentral:tRNA from 1 species